rnacentral:lncRNA from 1 species
GUCGGCUUAGAGCAUCCAUCACCAAGGCAAACAAGAGAGGGCUAAGCGCCGAUCCUUAAUGGAGCCCCAUAACCACUGGAAAAUUGUCUGAGUCGCCAUCCACUGUCUUAACCCUAGUCUUAGCUCCAUCGUACAUGUCCCUGAUUACUCUGAUGUAGGCUUCCGGCACGCUCUUCGCCUCCAUAACACCUUCAUAACACCUCUCUUGGGACCUUGUCAUACGCCUUCUCCAAGUCGAUAAGCACCAUGUGUAGGUCCUUCUUCUUAUCCCUGAAUUGCUCCGCCAGCCGCCUGACAAGGUGGAUAGCCUUUAUAGUGGAGUGAGCCGGCAUGAAACCGAACUGGUUCCCAGAUAUAGAUGUCAUCUCCCUCACCCCUGCCACAAUCACCCGCUCCCAAACCUUCUUGGUGUGGCUUAUUAAUUUGAUACCCUUAUAGUUGUUGCAGCUGUGGAUGUCCCCUUUGUUCUUGUACAAGGGCACCACUGUACUCCACCUCCACUCAUCCGGCAUUGUUGCAGCACUGGAUGUCACCUUUGUUCUUGUACAAGGGCACCACUGUACUCCACCUCCACUCCUCUGACAUCCUUUUGGUCCUGAAGAUCGCAUUGAACAACCUGCAUAGCCACUCCACUCCUGGCCUACCCAUGCAUUUCCAGAAU